GAUGAACGCUGGCGGCGUGCCUAAUACAUGCAAGUCGAGCGAACAGAUGAGGAGCUUGCUUCUCUGAUGUUAGCGGCGGACGGGUGAGUAACACGUGGGUAACCUACCUAUGAGACUGGGAUAACGCCGGGAAACAGGGGCUAAUACCGGAUAAUAUUUUGAACCGCAUAGUUCAAUAGUGAAAGACGGUUGCGGCGGUCACUUAUAGCUGGACCUGCGCCGGAUUAGCUAGUUGGUAAGGUAACGGCGUACCAAGGCGACGAUACGUAACCGACCUGAGAGGGUGAUCGGCCACACUGGAACUGAGACACGGUCCAGACUCCUACGGGAGGCAGCAGUAGGGAAUCUUCCGCAAUGGGCGAAAGCCUGACGGAGCAACGCCGCGUGAGUGAUGAAGGUCUUCGGAUCGUAAAACUCUGUUGUUAGGGAAGAACAAAUUUGUUAGUAACUGAACAAGUCUUGACGGUACCUAACCAGAAAGCCACGGCUAACUACGUGCCAGCCGCCGCGUAA
rnacentral:rRNA from 1 species